rnacentral:lncRNA from 1 species
CAUUUGAUUGGUUAUAUUGUCCCAUACAUGAAUAAAUAUGGUUGAGGGGUGGGGAUCUCGACUGUUUCCAAGUUCUAAAGCAGGAGGUGGUUGGUGACCCUAGGGACUUCACCUAUAUUUCAUUUGAUUAGUUCUAUAGUCCCAUACAUGAAUGUAUAUGGUUGAGAAGUGGGGAUCUCAUCCGUUUCAAAGUUAUCAAACAG